rnacentral:piRNA from 1 species
UGCCACGCAAGGGAUGAGUGAGAAAAUGG